rnacentral:ncRNA from 1 species
GACCCAAAAGAUGGUAAACUAGAGAAUGAAACCAAAGGAAGUUAUGGUAAAGAUCCGAAGCGAUUUUGAAGUGCAGAUCGAUCAUUUGACUUUGAUUUAGAAGUGAAAGACUAAUCGAACUAUUUUUCUGAAGG